GAUGAACGCUAGCGGCAGGCCUAAUACAUGCAAGUCGAACGAUAUUAAGGGGCUUGCCCCUUAAGAAAGUGGCGCACGGGUGCGUAACGCGUAUGCAACCUACCUUAAUCAGGGGGAAAGCCCGAAGAAAUUCGGAUUAACACCGCAUAAAAACACAGGAUAGCAUUAUCCAAUGUUCAAAUAUUUAUAGGAUUAAGAUGGGCAUGCGUGUCAUUAGCUAGUUGGCGGGGUAACGGCCCACCAAGGCGACGAUGACUAGGGGAUCUGAGAGGAUGACCCCCCACACUGAUACUGAGACACGGACCAGACUCCUACGGGAGGCAGCAGUAAGGAAUAUUGGUCAAUGGAGGCAACUCUGAACCAGCCAUGCCGCGUGCAGGAAGACUGCCCUAUGGGUUGUAAACUGCUUUUAUCCGGGAAUAAACCUUUCUACGUGUAGGAAGCUGAAUGUACCGGAAGAAUAAGGAUCGGCUAACUCCGUGCCAGCAGCCGCGGUAACAC
rnacentral:rRNA from 1 species